UAUUUAUUUGAUACGGAGUUAGUUUCAAAGUUUGGCUUCUCUAAAAAUUCAUAGUAUUUUUUAAUAAUCGGAGUAUUAUUGGGUUAUUAUACGGUUAUUAACAUAAAAAUGAGUGCUUUCUUUAACUUCCUAAAAAAGUUUACCGACGGCAAUCCGCAACUAACAGCGGUUCAGGCUGCUAGGAUCGGAGGCGCAGCUUGGGCUUCGUUUACGGCCGAAGAAAAAUCGAUUUACGAGGAGGAACCGGUAAGCGAAGAGAGAUUUGGGGAUGCAGUUGCGGGUUGCAGUCCGUGCGUGAAGAAGAAUAAGAAUAAGAAUAUGAAGAAGAAGAAGAAAGGAUGUGUUAAGCCAAAGCGCAAGGCCUGUAAGAAACGCAAGAAGUGAUAAAUUGAGUGAUUGCAGACUGGAAUAAUUCGAAGUGGUUGAAAUUUAGAUCUAAUGCUUCCAGUCUGCGCAACCACUAAAAGUCAUAGCACUCACUUCGAACUCACGCCCAACUCUUAAGGUGAUAAUUCGGAUUAUUAAGAGAGGAAAAAAUUUGAUAUCCGAUAAUUAUUUCGCUGAUAAUUAUAACCUGAAGAGAAAUGUGUUUACGUCUUUUUACGAGUAUGAGAAAUGACAUAUCGAACCAUUUCUUCUCAUUUGGGUGCGAUAUAGCCAAAUUAUUAAACUCCAAAUUAGAUAAAAGAAUCUAAACUAUAGGUUAAAAAUCGUAAGUUUUGCAUUAGAUUGAGGUAAUUGUAUGAAGCCAGCUAAUUAGACCAAAAAGUGAACCAAGUUUGUAUUUAUGAAGACACCAAACAAAAAGUGGAAUCUUCAAAAUAUAUUUUUUUGAACAAAUCGAAUUAUUAAGUCAUAAUUGACAGUUUGUUAUUAAACAUAUUAGUUUUAGGUUAGUAAUGUAAGAAUUUCUUGAUAUAAAGUAAUAAAAUGUUCGCCCAACAAA